rnacentral:rRNA from 1 species
GGACGAACGCUGGCGGCGUGCUUAACACAUGCAAGUCGAGCGGUAAGGCCUUUCGGGGUACACGAGCGGCGAACGGGUGAGUAACACGUGGGUGAUCUGCCCUGCACUUCGGGAUAAGCCUGGGAAACUGGGUCUAAUACCGGAUAUGACCUCAGGUUGCAUGACUUGGGGUGGAAAGAUUUAUCGGUGCAGGAUGGGCCCGCGGCCUAUCAGCUUGUUGGUGGGGUAAUGGCCUACCAAGGCGACGACGGGUAGCCGACCUGAGAGGGUGACCGGCCACACUGGGACUGAGACACGG